rnacentral:rRNA from 1 species
UCCUACGGGAGGCAGCAGUAAGGGAUAUUGGUCAAUGGGGGAAACCCUGAACCAGCAACGCCGCGUGAGGGAAGACGGUUUUCGGAUUGUAAACCUCUGUCCUCUGUGAAGAUGAUGACGGUAGCAGAGGAGGAAGCUCCGGCUAACUACGUGCCAGCAGCCGCGGUAAUACGUAGGUGGCAAGCGUUAUCCGGAUUUAUUGGGUGUAAAGGGCGUGUAGGCGGGAAAGCAAGUCAGAUGUGAAAACUCAGGGCUCAACCCUGAGCCUGCAUUUGAAACUGUUUUUCUUUAGUGCUGGAGAGGCA